GACGAACCGUGCGAACGUUAUUCGGAAUUACUGGGCUUAAAGCGCGUGUAGGCGGGACGGCACGUCGGCCGCUGAAAUCCCCCGGCUCAACCGGGGAAGGGGCGCCGAUACGACCGCCCUGGAGGGACGUAGGGGACCUGGAACUUCCGGUGGAGCGGUGAAAUGCGUUGAGAUCGGAAGGAACGCCCGUGGCGAAAGCGAGGUCCUGGACGUUUUCUGACGCUGAGACGCGAAAGCCAGGGGAGCGAACGGG
rnacentral:rRNA from 1 species